rnacentral:rRNA from 1 species
UACGAAGGGGGCUAGCGUUGCUCGGAAUCACUGGGCGUAAAGGGUGCGUAGGCGGGUCUUUUAAGUCAGGGGUGAAAUCCUGGAGCUCAACUCCAGAACUGCCUUUGAUACUGAGGAUCUUGAGUUCGGGGAGAGGUGAGUGGAACUGCGAGUGUAGAGGUGAAAUUCGUAGAUAUUCGCAAGAACACCAGUGGCGAAGGCGGCUCACUGGCCCGAUACGU